UACGAAGGGGGCUAGCGUUGUUCGGAAUUACUGGGCGUAAAGCGCACGUAGGCGGAUUGUUAAGUUAGGGGUGAAAUCCCAGGGCUCAACCCUGGAACUGCCUUUAAUACUGGCAAUCUCGAGUCCGAGAGAGGUGAGUGGAAUUCCGAGUGUAGAGGUGAAAUUCGUAGAUAUUCGGAGGAACACCAGUGGCGAAGGUGGCUCACUGGCUCGGUACUGACGCUGAGGUGCGAAAGCGUGGGGAGCAAACAGG
rnacentral:rRNA from 1 species